CAGUCGCCGCGGGAAUACGAAGGGGGCAAGCGUUGUCCGGAAUUAUUGGGCGUAAAGGGCUCGCAGGCGGUUUCUUAAGUCUGAUGUGAAAGCCCCCGGCUCAACCGGGGAGGGUCAUUGGAAACUGGGAAACUUGAGUGCAGAAGAGGAGAGUGGAAUUCCACGUGUAGCGGUGAAAUGCGUAGAGAUGUGGAGGAACACCAGUGGCGAAGGCGACUCUCUGGUCUGUAACUGACGCUGAGGAGCGAAAGCGUGGGGAGCGAACAGGAUUAGAUACCCCGGUAGUCCCUGUCUCUUAUAC
rnacentral:rRNA from 1 species